rnacentral:rRNA from 1 species
UACAGAGGGUGCAAACGUUGCUCGGAAUUACUGGGCGUAAAGGGAGCGUAGGCGGACAUUUAAGUCAGAGGUGAAAUCCCGGAGCUUAACUUCGGAACUGCCUUUGAUACUGGGUGUCUUGAGUGUGAGAGAGGUAUGUGGAACUCCGAGUGUAGAGGUGGAAAUUCGAUAGAUAUUCGGAAGGAAACACCAGUGGCGAAGGCGACAUACUGGCUCAUUACUGACGCUGAGGCUACGAAAGCGUGGGGAGCAAACAGG